AUUUCCUUAGUAGCUGCGAGCGAACAGGAAAAAGCCCAGCACUGAAUCCCGCGGCCGUUGCCGGACGCCGGGAAAUGUAGUGUUUAGGAGGAUUCAUUAUCCCGGGAUUGUGCAGUACGUCCAAGUCCUUCUUGAAGGGGGCCACAGCCCAUAGAGGGUGCCAGGCCCGUAGUGACUGCUGUUAAUCGCGGGAGAGUCUCUCCUUAGAGUCGGGUUGCUUGAGAGUGCAGCCCUAAGUGGGUGGUAAACUCCAUCUAAGGCUAAAUAUGACCACGAGACCGAUAGCGAACAAGUACCGUGAGGGAAAGUUGAAAAGCACUUUGAAGAGAGAGUUCAAGAGUACGUGAAACCGUUCAGGGGUAAACCUGAGAAACCCGAAAGAUCGAAAGGGGAAAUUCAUUCGUGUCUCGAUUGAAGCCAAUAUUUGAAUGUAGGAUAUAUAUGCAUAAUAUUUGUUAUGUAUGUGUGUUCACACCUUAUAUUUGAGCUAAUGUCGAAUGCGUGCACUUUUCCUCUAGUAGAACGUCGCGAUCCGUUGAGUGUCGGUCUACGGCUUGUAUGGCAGACCGUUCGGACAGUUUAUGCUGACCUGAACGGACCAACAAUGUCCUGAUCGACGGUAUCGAUGGUAUACAGAUGGCGCAGAGCCGCGACACAGUUCGCGUUUGGCCCAUGGCAAGCACAUAUGUGUUAUGUCUCGGUGUAUUUGGAACUAGUUCCGAUCUCGGGGCCACGUAUGUCUGUUGGCUAUGGUGUUCUUAAACAGUGCUUUGAUAAUGAAACGCCGAUCUGCGGCGCUAUUGCUUUGGGUACUUUCAGGACCCGUCUUGAAACACGGACCAAGGAGUCUAGCAUGUACGCAAGUCAUUGGGACAUAAUUAAACCUAAAGGCAUAAUGAAAGUGAAAGUUCGUCUUUUGCGGACAUAGGGAAGAUGGGUGGUUUGCAUUAAAGCGGCCACUUCGCACUCCCGGGGCGUCUCAUUCUCAUUGCGAGAAGAGGCGCACCAAGAGCGUAUACGCUGGGACCCGAAAGAUGGUGAACUAUGCCUGGUCAGGACGAAGUCAGGGGAAACCCUGAUGGAGGUCCGUAGCGAUUCUGACGUGCAAAUCGAUCGUCUGAACUGGGUAUAGGGGCGAAAGACUAAUCGAACCAUCUAGUAGCUGGUUCCCUCCGAAGUUUCCCUCAGGAUAGCUGGCGCUCAUUGCGCACGAGUCUCAUCCGGUAAAGCGAAUGAUUAGAGGCAUUGGGGUCGAAACGAUCUCAACCUAUUCUCAAACUUUAAAUGGGUGAGAACUCCGGCUUGCUCAAAAUUGUGUGAAGCCGAGAGAUAUAUAAAUACGGAUCAGAGUGCCAAGUGGGCCAUUUUUGGUAAGCAGAACUGGCGCUGUGGGAUGAACCAAACGUCGAGUUAAAGCGCCUAAAUCGACGCUUAUGGGAUACCAUGAAAGGCGUUGGUAACUUAAGACAGCAGGACGGUGGCCAUGGAAGUCGGAAUCCGCCAAGGAGUGUGUAACAACUCACCUGCCGAAGUUACUAGCCCUGAAAAUGGAUGGCGCUGAAGCGUCGUGCUUAUACUCGGCCGUCAGUGGCAUGUGCGGUCACGUAUUAGUGGCCAUUAAGCUCUGACGAGUAGGAGGGUCGCGGCGGUGUGCGCAGAAGGGCUGGCCGUAGGGCCGUCUGGAGCCGCCGUCGGUGCAGAUCUUGGUGGUAGUAGCAAAUACUCCAGCGAGACCCUGGAGGACUGACGU
rnacentral:rRNA from 1 species